UACGGAGGGUGCAAGCGUUAUCCGGAUUCACUGGGUUUAAAGGGUGCGUAGGUGGGAUGGUAAGUCAGUGGUGAAAUCUCCAAGCUUAACUUGGAAACUGCCGUUGAUACUAUCAUUCUUGAAUAUUGUGGAGGUAAGCGGAAUAUGUCAUGUAGCGGUGAAAUGCUUAGAUAUGACAUAGAACACCGACGGCGUAGGCAGCGCCCUGGACGACACCUGACGCUGAGGCACGAAAGCUGGGGGAGCGAACAGG
rnacentral:rRNA from 1 species